rnacentral:rRNA from 1 species
AGCGUAGACGGAAUGGCAAGUCUGAUGUGAAAGGCGGGGGCUCAACCCCCGGACUGCAUUGGAAACUGUUGAUCUUGAGUACCGGAGGGGUAAGCGGAAUUCCUAGUGUAGCGGUGAAAUGCGUAGAUAUUAGGAGGAACACCAGUGGCGAAGGCGGCUUACUGGACGGUAACUGACGUUGAGGCUCGAAAGCGUGGGGAGCAAACA